AAUAAUUGAGCAGAAAUAAAUCACUCAAUAAAAUCAUUCAAUUGCAAUUCGUUGAUAAAUUUGCAAUUCUCUCUGCAGUUAUUUUUCAAAUAAUAUUGUCAAGUGAUCUGCUUUGAGUUUAAAAUAUCAUUUUCAUUUUGAGUGACCAGACCAGACACAUGAAGAAUUCUAGGACAUUAUAAUAUUUUAUUCAAUGAAUAAUGCAGGGUGUCUGGUCACUCAAGCGAUUAUCAGUGUUUUCUUCUGCAUUUUGUCGGCUUUUCUGGCUCAAUUAUAGAUAAGAUUGGUGUUGAGGAAAGUUUAUUUCCUCGGAAAAGUGUGUCGAUGAAAGGUGGACAGAAUAUUGAAAGAUAAUCCUUAAUAAAAAGGAAAAGAAAAUUGGAGGAAAAACUCCAUUGCGUUGAUCAUGGUUAAAAAUAGGAGGAAAUUAAUCUAAUUAUAUCUUUCAUCAGCUGCCCCAGAGGCAUUCUGUGCUGGGUGAAUUCUCUGAUAAUUUGCAGAAUCACUGGAUGACGAAUUUGUUGUGCAAUUGUUCUUGUCCGGAGACUCGAAGCUUAUAACCUUGAAGCGGGAACGUCACGCUUAGCGGCAGGUGAGAAAAAGGCGCAUCGCUGGCAAAAGAAGCCUCCUAUCGACCACGGAGGUUAUCAAUUGAGGCAAGGGAUGGCGGGAUGACGCCAAAGGAGGAGUCCUUUGUGCAUUUUUUGCCCAAAAUACCACGAAAAGCAGGAGAAAGGGAAGCAAAAGAGAACUUACCACAGAAAAUGUAGAGACGUGGUACUCCACUUUUGGAUUCUGCCAGAGCUAAAAGUGGAGUCCAUGGCUUACUCUCGUCAUUGAUGGCCCUCUGGAUACACUCCUUGGCUUCAGCAACUUUUGCAGACAUUUUUCACGAGAAUUUUUUACACAGAAUAACUAAAAAUUUCACGCCCGAAAAUCCAGCAGCAGAGGAAAAAACGAUGCGCUUGCUAGGUGCACUUUUGACAACAGAGUGAAGUUAUCAACAAUCGUUUUUUCGUUCACUAGGUGGCGCGUUAUCGCCGGUACCGGCAAAAUUCAAUUUCAAACCUCCUACUCAACGAAAACGGUUUCUCUAUAAAAAACAUUUAUCUGUGCUUCAAAUGGAAUUUUUAAUUAAAUAAAUUCUAAAUUGAGGUACAUUCAGCAGCCAGAAGAAGAACAUUGUUGAAAUUACUCAUGUGUUGUGAACUAGUUCGAUGGUGUUGUCCGUGAAAGAGGGAUCUACUUGGGGAUGAAAAGAAUUUUAGGAAGUAACAUAAAUUGAUUCAAUCAUCCUUCUGAGGUUUUUUACCUUUAUUCCUGUUGAGCAUUUGCUUCUGGAUGGCUGAUAUAGGAAGCUCCAGCACGAUGCAGAGAAGAGCACCACCCAAAUAUGAGAGAAUGAGCGUUGAUGAGACAUAAACCACCUGGAAGUUGGAAAAUUAGGUCAAAAUCUCAACAUUUUGACCCUUUCAGGAGCUACACUCACAAUUGUGGAGUCGCUGAGAAAGACAGGCUGUCGGACGUUACCCAUUGUAGCCCUCAGGAUGAAUGGAUGGCACAAAUAAACGCAGAAAGUUAUCCGGCCAAGUGGACGAAAGAUUGGGUUGCAUAAGAAGUCGCGCGCAACCCCUGCAAUUUUAUUAAAAUUAAUUGAUUUUAGGGGAAUGUGGAACAACUGUGGAGUGGGGCAGCUUUGAAAUUGGGCUUUUUUCUCCUAUUUUUAAAUGAUG